rnacentral:lncRNA from 13 species
AUGAACUUUAACCACGCUGCAUUUUGGUCCUCCUCUCCUUCCCAGGAAGAAAGCCGUUACAGAACCACCCACCACAUCAUGACAAAGUGGCGUGGUGAAAAGCAACAACAGCAGGAGAGGCAGCAGCAGCAACAGCAAGAGAGGCAGAACUAUUUGGAAAAAUGGACUUGGGAGGAGACCCUAGACGGGAAAGGACCCUGGGCACAGCCAGGAGAAUAUCGCUGCCCCAAGGAAGAGCUGGAGGCAGCGAAGGCGGAGAGGCGCUGGUAUGAGGAGGCAGCACGGCGGCGCGGAUGGAAGCCAGAGAGUCAGCCCCAAAAAUGUCUUGGGGGGUGGCACACAGGUAGUGUGGCGAAGCCAGGUAGGAGACCUGCGCCAACUUCCUGUGCUUACCGGGGGGAGAGAGAGACCGGGCAGGCACCGUGUUAUGCUGUGGAGCACACGGUGUCCCCAGUGCGGGUGCAUAGCCCGGUGCGGUACAUACCAGCUCCUUGUAUCGGUCGGGCUAGAGUGGGCAUCGAGCCAAGUGCCAUGAAGCCGGCUCUACUACGCAUCUGGUAUCCAGUGCAUCUCCUUGGGCCGGCGUACAUGGCACCAGCCUUACGCAUGGUGUCCCCGGUUCGCCUGCACAGCCCAGUGCGGGCUAUUCCACCUCGCUGCACUGGCAGGGCGACCGGGAGCAUUCAACCAGGUAAGGUUGGGCAGGCUCGGUGCUCAAGAGCUCCAGUGCGCCUGCACGGUCCGGUCUAUCCAGUUCCACCUCCACGGACCAGCCUUCCGGUGGCAGCUCCCCGCACUCGCCCUGAGGUGCGUGUCCUCGGCCCAGUACCACCAGUGCCGGCACCACGCACCAGGCCUACAGUGCGCCUAGCCUGUCCAGCGCUGCCAGAGCCUUCCUCCUCUCCAGCGCUGCUAGAGUCUCCCGCCUGUCCAGAGCUGCUAGAGUCUCCCGCCUGUCCAGAGCUGCUAGAGUCUCCCGCCUGUCCAGAGCUGCUAGAGUCUCGCGCCUGCGCAGAGCUGCUAGAGUCUCCCGCCUGUCCAGAGCCGCUACUCUGCCAGUAG